AUAUGUUGGAGCCUUGUGCUCAUAAGAUGGUGGUGGAGGUGAUUUAUACUCAUAGGGUGGUGGGGGUGAUGGUGAAGGAGGUGGGGGAGACUUAUAUUCAUAAGAUGGAGACUUGUGCUCAUAGGGUGGAGGUGGUGGAGAUUUGUAAAUGUAAGAUGGUGGAGGUGACGGUGAGGGAGGCGGUGGUGACUUGUAAAUGUAAGGUGGUGGUGGUGAUGGUGAUGGUGGUGGGGGUGACUUGUACUGGUAAGAUGGAGCCUUGUGCUCAUAUGGUGGUGGAGGUGACGGUGAUGGAGGUGGUGGUGACUUGUAAAUGUAAGGUGGUGGAGGUGAUGGUGAUGGAGGUGGGGGUGACUUGUACUGGUAAGAUGGUGCCUUGUGCUCAUAUGGAGGCGGUGGUGACGGUGAUGGAGGCGGUGGUGACUUGUACACAUAAGGUGGUGGAGGAGAAGAGUAAAUAUAACUAUCUGCAGCAGCAGAAACCACAGAAGUCGAAAUCAAAACAAUGACGAAUGCCAUUGCCAUUGGUGGCCAGUUAUGACCCCUUUUGGGGCUACUGGCCUUAGCAGUCAUGGGUAGAAUGAAAA
rnacentral:lncRNA from 1 species